AUGAACGCUGGCGGCGUGCCUAACCCCUGCAAGUCGCACGGAGUCCAGCCUUUAAGACCUUCGGGUCAAAGAGGGGAAGACUGAGUGGCGGACGGGUGAGUAACACGUGGGCAACCUGGCUCAUAGAGGGGGAUAACAGAGAGAAAUUUCUGCUAAUACCGCAUAAGCACACACUGCCGCAUGGCAGAGGGUGAAAAGAGAAUCGCUAUGAGAUGGACCCGCGUCUGAUUAGCCAGUUGGCAGGGUAAGAGCCUACCAAAGCGACGAUCAGUAGCCGAUCUGAGAGGAUGAACGGCCACAUUGGGACUGAGACACGGCCCAAACUCCUACGGGAGGCAGCAGUGGGGGAUAUUGCACAAUGGGGGGAACCCUGAUGCAGCGACGCCGCGUGAGUGAAGAAGUAUUUCGGUAUGUAAAGCUCUAUCAGCAGGGAAGAUAAUGACAGUACCUGAAUAAGAAGCCCCGGCUAACUACGUG
rnacentral:rRNA from 1 species